UGGGGAAUUUUGGACAAUGGGGCGAAAGCCUGAUCCAGCAAUGCCGCGUGUGUGAAGAAGGCCUUCGGGUUGUAAAGCACUUUUGUCCGGAAAGAAAUCCUUGGUUCUAAUAUAGCCGGGGGGAUGACGGUACCGGAAGAAUAAGCACCGGCUAACUACGUGCCAGCAGCCGCGGUAAUACGUAGGGUGCGAGCGUUAAUCGGAAUUACUGGGCGUAAAGCGUGCGCAGGCGGUUUGCUAAGACCGAUGUGAAAUCCCCGGGCUCAACCUGGGAACUGCAUUGGUGACUGGGCAGGCUAGAGUAUGGCAGAGGGGGGUAGAAUUCCACGUGUAGCAGUGAAAUGCGUAGAGAUGUGGAGGAAUACCGAUGGCGAAGGCAGCCCCCUGGGCCAAUACUGACGCUCAUGCACGAAAGCGUGGGGAGCAAACAGGAUUAGAUACCCCUGGUAGUCCACGCCCUAAACGAUGUCAACUAGUUGUUGGGGAUUCAUUUCCUUAGUAACGUAGCUAACGCGUGAAGUUGACCGCCUGGGGAGUACGGUCGCAAGAUUAAAACUCAAAGGAAUUGACGGGGU
rnacentral:rRNA from 1 species